rnacentral:rRNA from 1 species
CCUACGGGAGGCAGCAGUGGGGAAUAUUGGACAAUGGGGGGGAACCCUGAUCCAGCCAUGCCGCGUGUGUGAAGAAGGCCCUCGGGUUGUAAAGCACUUUCAGUGAGGAAGAACGCCUGGUGGUUAAUACCCAUCAGGAAAGACAUCACUCACAGAAGAAGCACCGGCUAACUCCGUGCCAGCAGCCGCGGUAAUACGGAGGGUGCGAGCGUUAAUCGGAAUUACUGGGCGUAAAGCGCGCGUAGGUGGCUUGAUAAGCCGGUUGUGAAAGCCCCGGGCUCAACCUGGGAACGGCAUCCGGAACUGUCAAGCUAGAGUGCAGGAGAGGAAGGUAGAAUUCCCGGUGUAGCGGUGAAAUGCGUAGAGAUCGGGAGGAAUACCAGUGGCGAAGGCGGCCUUCUGGACUGACACUGACACUGAGGUGCGAAAGCGUGGGUAGCAAACAGGAUUAGAUACCCUGGUAGUC